rnacentral:rRNA from 1 species
AUGAAACACUCCUACGGGAGGCAGCAGUGGGGAAUUUUGGACAAUGGGCGCAAGCCUGAUCCAGCAAUGCCGCGUGAGUGAAGAAGGCCUUCGGGUUGUAAAGCUCUUUUGUCAGAGAAGAAACGGGAUUGGAUAAUACCUAGUCCUAAUGACGGUACCUGAAGAAUAAGCACCGGCUAACUACGUGCCAGCAGCCGCGGUAAUACGUAGGGUGCAAGCGUUAAUCGGAAUUACUGGGCGUAAAGCGUGCGCAGGCGGUUGUGUAAGUCAGAUGUGAAAUCCCCGGGCUCAACCUGGGAAUUGCAUUUGAGACUGCACGGCUAGAGUGUGUCAGAGGGGGGUAGAAUUCCACGUGUAGCAGUGAAAUGCGUAGAUAUGUGGAGGAAUACCGAUGGCGAAGGCAGCCCCCUGGGAUAACACUGACGCUCAUGCACGAAAGCGUGGGGAGCAAACAGGAUUAGAAACCCUAGUAGUCCGAAGUUC